rnacentral:rRNA from 1 species
UGGCGGCACGCCUAACACAUGCAAGUCGAACGAAGUAGCAAUACUUAGUGGCAGACGGGUGAGUAACAUGUAGGUAUCUACCCUUUGGCCUGGAAUAACACGAGGAAACUUGUGCUAAUACCGGAUAAGUCUUUACGGAGAAAGCUUUAUGCACCAUUGGAUGAGCCUGCACUUGAUUAGUUUGUUGGUGGGGUAAUGGCCUACCAAGACUGUGAUCAAUAGCUGAUUUGAGAGGAUGAUCAGCCACAUUGGGACUGAGACACGGCCCAAACUCCUACGGGAGGCAGCAGUGGGGAAUCUUGCACAAUGGAGGAAACUCUGAUGCAGCGAUGCCGCGUGAGUGAAGAAGGCCCUUGGGUUGUAAAGCUCUUUCGUCGGGGAAGAAAAUGACUGUACCCGAAUAAGAAGGUCCGGCUAACUUCGUGCCAGCAGCCGCGGUAAUACGAAGGGACCUAGCGUAGUUCGGAAUUACUGGGCUUAAAGAGUUCGUAGGUGGUUGAAAAAGUUAGUGGUGAAAUCCCAGAGCUUAACUCUGGAACUGCCAUUAAAACUUUUCAGCUAGAGUAUGAUAGAGGAAAGCAGAAUUUCUAGUGUAGAGGUGAAAUUCGUAGAUAUUAGAAAGAAUACCAAUUGCGAAGGCAGCUUUCUGGAUCAUUACUGACACUGAGGAACGAAAGCAU